rnacentral:rRNA from 2 species
GACAGAGGGGGCAAGCGUUGUCCGGAGUUACUGGGCGUAAAGCGCGCGUAGGCGGUACGGUAAGUAAGGUGUGAAAGCCCCAGGCUUAACCUGGGGAGGUCAUCUUCGACUGCCGCACUCGAGUCGUGCAGAGGGUGGUGGAAUUGCCGGUGUAGUGGUGAAAUGCGUAGAGAUCGGCAGGAACACCAAGGGCGAAAGCAGCCACCUGGGCACGUACUGACGCUGAGGUGCGAAAGCGUGGGGAGCGAACCGG